GGGCCCGUAGCUCAGCGGUGAGAGCAGUCGGCUCAUAACCGAUCGGUCCCGGGUUCGAAUCCUGGCGGGCCCACCA
rnacentral:tRNA from 4 species